GCUGUGAGCUCGAUGAGUAGGGCGGGACACGUGGUAUCCUGUCUGAAUAUGGGGGGACCAUCCUCCAAGGCUAAAUACUCCUGACUGACCGAUAGUGAACCAGUACCGUGAGGGAAAGGCGAAAAGAACCCCGGCGAGGGGAGUGAAAAAGAACCUGAAACCGUGUACGUACAAGCAGUGGGAGCACGCUUCGGCGUGUGACUGCGUACCUUUUGUAUAAUGGGUCAGCGACUUAUAUUCUGUAGCAAGGUUAACCGAAUAGGGGAGCCGAAGGGAAACCGAGUCUUAACUGGGCGUUAAGUUGCAGGGUAUAGACCCGAAACCCGGUGAUCUAGCCAUGGGCAGGUUGAAGGUUGGGUAACACUAACUGGAGGACCGAACCGACUAAUGUUGAAAAAUUAGCGGAUGACUUGUGGCUGGGGGUGAAAGGCCAAUCAAACCGGGAGAUAGCUGGUUCUCCCCGAAAGCUAUUUAGGUAGCGCCUCGUGAAUUCAUCUCCGGGGGUAGAGCACUGUUUCGGCAAGGGGGUCAUCCCGACUUACCAACCCGAUGCAAACUGCGAAUACCGGAGAAUGUUAUCACGGGAGACACACGGCGGGUGCUAACGUCCGUCGUGAAGAGGGAAACAACCCAGACCGCCAGCUAAGGUCCCAAAGUCAUGGUUAAGUGGGAAACGAUGUGGGAAGGCCCAGACAGCCAGGAUGUUGGCUUAGAAGCAGCCAUCAUUUAAAGAAAGCGUAAUAGCUCACUGGUCGAGUCGGCCUGCGCGGAAGAUGUAACGGGGCUAAACCAUGCACCGAAGCUGCGGCAGCGACGCUUAUGCGUUGUUGGGUAGGGGAGCGUUCUGUAAGCCUGCGAAGGUGUACUGUGAGGUAUGCUGGAGGUAUCAGAAGUGCGAAUGCUGACAUAAGUAACGAUAAAGCGGGUGAAAAGCCCGCUCGCCGGAAGACCAAGGGUUCCUGUCCAACGUUAAUCGGGGCAGGGUGAGUCGACCCCUAAGGCGAGGCCGAAAGGCGUAGUCGAUGGGAAACAGGUUAAUAUUCCUGUACUUGGUGUUACUGCGAAGGGGGGACGGAGAAGGCUAUGUUGGCCGGGCGACGGUUGUCCCGGUUUAAGCGUGUAGGCUGGUUUUCCAGGCAAAUCCGGAAAAUCAAGGCUGAGGCGUGAUGACGAGGCACUACGGUGCUGAAGCAACAAAUGCCCUGCUUCCAGGAAAAGCCUCUAAGCAUCAGGUAACAUCAAAUCGUACCCCAAACCGACACAGGUGGUCAGGUAGAGAAUACCAAGGCGCUUGAGAGAACUCGGGUGAAGGAACUAGGCAAAAUGGUGCCGUAACU
rnacentral:rRNA from 1 species